rnacentral:rRNA from 1 species
UACGUAGGGCGCAAGCGUUAUCCGGAAUUAUUGGGCGUAAAGAGCUCGUAGGCGGUUUGUCGCGUCUGCCGUGAAAGUCCGGGGCUCAACUCCGGAUCUGCGGUGGGUACGGGCAGACUAGAGUGAUGUAGGGGAGACUGGAAUUCCUGGUGUAGCGGUGAAAUGCGCAGAUAUCAGGAGGAACACCGAUGGCGAAGGCAGGUCUCUGGGACAUUAACUGACGCUGAGGAGCGAAAGCAUGGGGAGCGAACAGG